AUUGAACGCUGGCGGCAUGCCUAACACAUGCAAGUCGAACGGGGGUAGCGAUACCCUAGUGGCGGACGGGUGAGGAACGCGUAGGAAUCUGCCCACGAGUGGGGGACAACCUGGGGAAACUCAGGCUAAUACCGCAUGAGCUCGGGAGAGGAAAGCGGGGGACCUUCGGGCCUCGCGCUGGUGGAAGAGCCUACGUCCGAUUAGCUAGUUGGUGGGUAAGGGCCCACCAAGGCGACGAUCGGUAGCGGGUCUGAGAGGACGACCCGCCACACUGGGACUGAGACACGGCCCAGACUCCUACGGGAAGCAGCAGUGGGGAAUAUUGGACAAUGGGGGAAACCCUGAUCCAGCAAUGCCGCGUGGGUGAAGACGGCCUGCGGGUUGUAAAGCCCUUUAGGCGGGGAGGAACGACGGGACGUGAACAACGUUGCGAAGUGACGUUACCCGCGGAAUAAGCACCGGCUAACUCCGUG
rnacentral:rRNA from 1 species